UGAUUCUAUAAUCGAACUGGGCAAAUCCAAUUCCUGUGGCGUUGCUUGAUUUUGCGUUACACUACCGAUCCCCAAUUGUCCGUAACAAUUACGUCCCCAGCCGCCCCCAACCGCUUGCUGCUUACCGCUUGUCUGUCGCUGAUCUCCGACGCGCUGGUGGGCAACAAGGCGACUAGCAACUUUGUACCUGUAACCUUUUGCACUUGGAAAUUGUGCCUACAUUUCGUAGCGGUCGCAUUGACAGUUACUCGACAGCAACGAACAAUGCAAGGCAGUAACAACAACAAUAACGGCAACAAGCGUUGGGCAGAAGAAUUGUUCGAAAUACACUAGUAACACGCUUUGAACACGAGACAACGACAAACAAACAAACUAUACAUACAUAUAUUUUAGUUCAGCGGUCGCCAAAUGUUUACCAAAUGGGAUAAAUGUUCUGAAAACUGUUGGAAAUCGAAAGAAAUUG